CAUUCUGACUGCCCCUAAUGCCAGUUUCUUCUAUUAAGGACAACACAGCAGGGUUGCAUAUGGAGGGGCUUUCUCCACAAACAUGAAGUUCUACAAUGUGACUUGUCUGAUACUAUCAGAUCAUGCCUUCUAUGUAAGAGCUGAAGACUUCUGUUUGUGGCCAUUCAUUUUGUUUUGUCUUGUUUUGUUUUUUGUGUUUUUUCUUUUGUUUCCUUUUUACUUGUGCCACUGGGAAUUGAAUCCAGGGCUUUCACAUUGAGCUAUGCCCUCAGCUCUUUUUAUUUUAUUUUUAAUUUUUUCAAGACAGGGUCUUGCUAUGUAUUCCAGCUUUGGGUUCACUGUGUAGCCCAGGCUUGGCCUCAAACUUCUUACUAUCCUCUUGCCUCAACCUCGAGAGUGCUGGGAUUACAGGUGUGCACCACCACACACAGUCCUUUUCAUUUUGUUUAUUUUGAGACAAGGUCUGGCUAAAUUGCUCAGAUGGGACUUGAAUUUGUGAUUCUCCUACCUCAGCCUCCCAGAGUGCUGGGAUUAUAAACCUGUGCCUCUUGGUCCAGUUUCUUUUUUAAAAUGCUGGAAAGGAUCCAGGGAAGCUGCAUCAUUUUUAGAUAGGAGAUGACAUCACUUCCCAACUUGCUUAGGAGGCCUAAAGUCUUGCUCUAUUCUUGGUCUAGCACCUCACUUUCCAUUCUCUUUACAACCUAUUGUCCUUUUUUGUACUUAGCCUAGCAGGACCUGGGGGGCCCAGCUUGAAAAAGGAUGUUAGCAUCCCCCUCCCUUCUGCCGACCUACCUCCUCUUGUAGCAACCUGGCGCCCCCUCGACAACUCAUGGCCAUCUUCUCACCCGUGGAGGACUUGUGUUCCUGUCUCCGUCCUCUGCCACACAGGCAAAGCUCCCUUGUGACUGAAGCAGAAGAGAAGGGCCUGAUGCUCCCCGUAAGCAAGCUGCAGUCAUGGGUCAAUCCCAGAUGACUCUCCCCUGCAGCCUCUCUGGAUGACUAUUUCUCUACAGCCACUUCAGAUAUCCUCACUCUGGUCCAGGAGGAGCUCCUGGCCUACCCAUGACUGAGCAGAAAGUCUGCAGCUACCUGGCAGGACACUGCGUGUGUGGGCCUGCCUUCUAUUGUCUAUAUGAGAAUAGUGCAUGUACUGCU
rnacentral:lncRNA from 1 species